rnacentral:sRNA from 1 species
AUUGACUAUGGAGUUGAGAUAGGUUCCUACCGGUUCGUGGGAAGCGUAUUUUGUUGGGCAUAAAGGGGCCCCGGGUUUGAGACUCUACUACACGGCGUAUAUAGAUAGAAUUAUAGAUGACGAGCUGCUGGCUGGUAUUACUCUGUGGGUGUAGUACACCACAUGGAUGUAUCUUGUACUGUAGUUAGAUGUACCACACCAGUUGUCGUGUUUUCGAGGCUGGAGAUUCAGGGGCUCCGGAUUACCAAAAGAAAGAAAGAAAAAAAAAAAAAAAGCACAUCGCUCUCGAGAGUCAGCACUUGACAUUUAAUGUUUGUAAAUCCUGACUAAACGAACAUGGAGAAGUUUGUAAUAUCCAUACAAUAGUUACAGAUAGCA